GCUGCUUUUUAUCGAUGAGUAAUGUUAAGAAUUUCACAUCCACAAAUUAACAAUUCUACUUCCCCCUAAUUCCUCAGCUGGUGUAAGAAGUCACUCACUUUGCCUGUUCCAAAGCUGGCUCAGCCGAUGCCAAUUUUGCUAAUGAGUUGAGAGGUAGGAACACCCACCUGAAACCCUUUAUCUGGCCACAAACGUUGCUGUUUCCUGACACCAUUAAGUAGGCACUUCAGAAAUUCAAGAUAUCAAUCUGACCAGUGAUGUGUUCUGUCCAUGAAACAAACAUCAGUUAUUUAACACAGUGAAUGAAUCACUCUUUUCAAAGUCAUUUGCCCCUGGAUUAUAAUUUAACCCUUAUCUGGAGCAUGAACCAGGAACGCAACUGAUGACCAACGUUAAAGAAAGCUGUUCUAGGAAACAUCUGUACAGCAAAUGUGUCUCAGACAUACAGCUUGGAUGAAAGAGAUUUCCUUUUGGACUGGACAGCCUGAAUAAUGACCUCUGCAAAUAAAACAAAUGAUUGAUACUUGUGGUAUUACUCACCACAGUACUAUCUGCUGUUUCUCCCCUGGUUUUUUAAUGAGAUUUAAAAGCCUUGAAGUGAAUAACCCCAGCCUUUUCAUUAAUUUAGCUAGCAUGAAAAGCUGUGGGGCCUAUGUGGCAGGUGCUGUGGGUUAACAAUAGGGGUACUGUUUAAUCCAAGGGAAACAGAGUUUAAAAUGGCCAUGAAUAAAAGAAUAUGGGACAUUUUAUGAGGUCAGGAGAAGCAUUUUAAAUCAGGAGGUGCAAAGAGAGACCAGCUACAGAAACAUUCUUUCUUGCCACACUCACUUGGACAUGAAAAAACGCCUUAUAAUUUGCUCUGCAGAAGAUAAAGAAAUUGAAGUGGAAUAUGUAAAUACAAGAAGUUUGUUGGUACUCAGAGGAUUGCUUCUAACUUGCAGGAGUAGUUGGCUACUGUUCAUCGGGGAAGAGGCUAUUCUUCUAGAUGAUAUUCCUUACCCAGCUUAUCUCUUUGAAAUUCUGAGAAACAGGAGACAGUCUAGCAAGUGUAAUAGCAUUUCAACAUAGUAUGUGAUUUGCAGGUUUGUUUGUUUUCAAAUACUGUCUGACUCAGUUACUGAGAGCACUAAUUAAGCAAUCAGUGAUUGAGAGUUUAGAGCAGAGAGCAGAAACGUUGAAUCAAAAUCGCAAACAAACUUUCUAUAAAAUACCUGAAAGCGGUUUUGUUCUCAUCCAUGUUAUACAAUUGCAGUAGGUCCAGGGUCAUUUGUGCCACUCCUCAUCCCUUUAGGAUAGAGUUUCAAUGGUAUAAAUGGGCCUUUAGAGACUCAGAGACAGAUGGAGAAGAGUACAGUUUCAAAACUGAAUUAAAUACCUUCCAGUUAUGAAGCACAGCUGUUCAGGGUCAGGAACACACAAGUGUAACAGUGCUAUAACGUGUCAGACUACUGUUCCUGCUGUUGGAAUAUCCUAACCAUUUGCAGGUGAUUCAGAAGAAGGUGUGGGAACACCAGAAGGAGAAUUAUAUUAUAGUUUGCACUAUUGGAAAGCUCUUGCUGUGAGCUUUCACAUACCUUACAAUUUUUUACUUUAAAUCAUUAAGUAACACAAUGAUGGAUGCUCAUGUUAUGCAUUUAUAUGGCCAAUGGUUUUUCAAGUCUUGCAAAGGUCUUGGACCAAGUGAUAGCACAUGGGAAUAAUUUUCACACAGUAACCAUGAACCCCUUUUUUUAUUUUUUUGUGAUUAAGAGUUCUGCCUUCCAACUUCAUGAAACAUCCCCUGUUUUUGCUUAAAAAUAAAUUACUUUAGUUCCCCUAUACCAUUAUUUUAAAGAUGUUUAUAAGGUCAUCUUCUACUUCAUCUCUCCUCUAGGACAUAAUUGCCAUUUGAAUGUUUUACUGCUACAGUUCGGCACUCCUUUUGUCUUCUUAAUGUUGCCUUUUCAUAACUGGGGAAUCCCAUGCAAACACAGCAAUGCUGAUCACGUAACAUACUUGUGGAUUUUGUGGUUUCUCCAAUCCUGCUUUUAGGCUGCCAGGAGCCUCUUGCAGAUGUAUUUUCACAAAGCACUAUACAAGCUAGUAGGCAGUAAUUUUUAUGGGCCACGUAAAUUUCUGUGGGUAGUCUCACACGAGCAUCCAUUUGGCAUGAGUCAAAGUUUUAGAGAUAGAUGUCUAUGGAUACCUCCCAACUGGGCAGUUCCUUUGCUGUCCACAUGCUCUCCUUUUACUUUUCUCGUACUUCGUGUAUUUUCUCCUUGUUUCCUUCCUCUUCCCAGUUCUCUGUUCUCCCUUCUCCUAUUUCAGUCAGGUCCAUGUAAGAAAUUUCAGCUGGCUUUUGGAGUGUAAACUCCAGCUGACAUACCUAAGCAUCCCGAAGUCCUAUGGACACCUCAAUUUAUUUAUUUGUUUGUUUGUUUGUAUUAUUAUUUUCUUCCUGUCUAGGGGGAAAGAGACUCGAGGAGUCAAAACCCUUUGCCAUGUCAUGUAACAACACACUGCUAUAUUCUGUCACUGACUUGCUAUUUCAGGACAAGAAGGGUGCCACAAAGAUGAUCAAAGGGCUAGAAUGCCUCUCCUAUGAAGAAAGGUUGAGGGAGCUGGGCUUGCUUAGCUUGGGGAAGAGAAGGAUGUGGAGAGACCUCAUUGUGGCAGGAGGGGGACUAACUUUUUACAUGGUCUGAUACUGAUAUGACAAGGGGAAAUGGCUUUAAACUAAAAGAGGGGAGAUUUAGGUGAGAUAAUAAAUUAUUUACUCAGAAGGUGGUGAGGUGCUGGCGCAGGUUGCUAAGAGAAGCUGUGAAUGGCGCAUCCCUGGAGGUGUCAAGGCCAGGUCGGGUGGGGCCCUGGGCAGCCUGAGCUGGUGGGUGGCAACCCUGCCCAUGGCACGGGGUUGGAACUGUGGGGGCUUUGAGUUCCCUUCCAAGCUAAGCCAUUCUGUGGUUCUUUCCCCCACUUUUUUAAUCCCAUUUCCAAACCCAUUCACAAAAAACACCUUCCAUGUGACCAUGGAGACUGUGAGUAGUGCCCGAGAAUGAUUCCACCAGUGGAGAAAGCUGGUGAACUUUACCAUCAAAGGGUUUGAACAACUUGCACAGAAUCAUAGAAUCAUUUGACUUGAAUGGGACCCUUUCUAAAGACCAUCUGGUCCAACUCCUCUGCAAUGAACAGGGAUAGCUACAGCUAGAUCAGGUGCUCAGAGCCCCAUCCAGCCUGGUCUUGAGCGUCUCCAGGGAUGGGACAUCCUACUCUCUGGGUAGGUUGUUCCAGUGCCUCACCACCCUUAUUGUAAAAAACUUUUUCAUUAAAUUCGGUCUAUAUCCUCCCCUCUUUUAGUUUGAAACAAUUUCCCCUUGCCCUAUCUCAGCAGGCUCUGCUAAAGAGUCCCCUUCUUUCUAAAAGGCCCCCUUUAGACACUGAAAGGUUGCUAUCAGGUCUUUCCAGUUAGCUAGGGAGGCACUUGCUAGGGUCUCGCCCUAGUUGCCAAACUGACAGCCCCCAUACACGGGAACGGGCAGGUAGGUAUGAAUUAUUGAGUGUACAAACAGGCACAAAGGAAGAGAUGCUGUUCCUGCUUUGAAAGGUCUCUAGUGCCCUGGGUCACUGUCAGACUGAAGCCUGCCUGCUGCCCCUUCCAUCCUCCUCAGAGCUCCCGACGACUUUCCUCCAGCACUUUGUCAGAGGUCUCGUUUCACGACCUCCGAGCAUUGGUACGAGCCCCCAAACAAUAAUAAAAACACGUCGCGGAGGAAUAUCGUCUCUUCUUCCCUCGAAGAAUGGAAAAGCGCCCAGAGCAGCGCGGCCACAGGGCCUCACCUCGGCGGCCCCCCACGCCCUCUCCCAACAGCCGCGGGGGAGGGGAAGGGAGGGGAGGUCGCACGUCCCCCUCCCCCUCCCCCCCUGGCGGGCCCCAGCGGCCGCC
ensembl:lncRNA